UACAUAUUAAUGAGAUGUGUGUUUAUUUUUUUUCUUUAAUUUUUUGCGGGGGCAUGAGAUAUGUGUUUUUGUCCAACUAUAAAAGCAUCAUCAAGGAGAAUAUUGGCACCAUAGGACGCAUAAACAAGAGUGGAAAAAGCAAGAGAAGACUUGCUAACUCGAGAUGGUGCUUACCAAGAGGAACGCAUGGGUCGUUUGCUUGGUAGUUCUUGUGGUCAUGGCCACAACCCUGCCCUUGUCGGCUUCAAAAGAGAAGAGGUGCUAUGAUAUGCCAGAUUGCUAUGAUCAGCGUUGCCGUGAAGAAUGUGUUGCAGCCGGUAUCGGCGACACAGGACACUGCAGAUUUUUUGUAGAAUGUUGUUGCAAUGUUUAGAAGAUAGCUCAAAACGCUUAUUUUGCCAGAAUAUGUACUGGUGAGAUGGUAAAAUUUGAUAUUAAAUAACUUUGAUAAAUAAUUUAUCUGGAUGGAUGUGAUAAAAAAGGUCGGUAAUUCCUUCUAAUAAAUACUCCGGCCGGCCCGGAAUUAGUUUAUGCUCA